rnacentral:rRNA from 1 species
GAUGAACGCUGGCGGCGUGCUUAACACAUGCAAGUCGAACGAUGAAGCCCAGCUUGCUGGGUGUAUUAGUGGCGAACGGGUGAGUAACACGUGAGUAACCUGCCCUUAACUCUGGGAUAAGCCUGGGAAACUGGGUCUAAUACCGGAUAGGAGCGCCUACCGCACGGUGGGUGUUGGAAAGAUUUAUCGGUGUUGGAUGGACUCGCGGCCUAUCAGCUUGUUGGUGGGGUAAUGGCUCACCAAGGCGACGACGGGUAGCCGGCCUGAGAGGGUGACCGGCCACACUGGGACUGAGACACGGCCCAGACUCCUACGGGGGGCAGCAGUGGGGAAUAUUGCACAAUGGGCGAAAGCCUGAUGCAGCGACGCCGGGUGAGGGAUGACGGCCUUCGGGUUGUAAACCUCUUUCAGUAGGGAAGGAGCGAAAGUGACGGUACCUGCAGAAGAAGCACCGGCUAACUACGUG